AGUGAACGCUGGCGGUAGGCCUAACACAUGCAAGUCGAACGGCAGCACAGUAAGAGCUUGCUCUUACGGGUGGCGAGUGGCGGACGGGUGAGGAAUACAUCGGAAUCUACUUUUUCGUGGGGGAUAACGUAGGGAAACUUACGCUAAUACCGCAUACGACCUACGGGUGAAAGCAGGGGAUCUUCGGACCUUGCGCGAUUGAAUGAGCCGAUGUCGGAUUAGCUAGUUGGCGGGGUAAAGGCCCACCAGGGCGACGAUCCGUAGCUGGUCUGAGAGGAUGAUCAGCCACACUGGAACUGAGACACGGUCCAGACUCCUACGGGAGGCAGCAGUGGGGAAUAUUGGACAAUGGGCGCAAGCCUGAUCCAGCCAUACCGCGUGGGUGAAGAAGGCCUUCGGGUUGUAAAGCCCUUUUGUUGAGAAAGAAAAGCAGCAGGUUAAUACCCCGCUGUUCUGACGGUACCCAAAGAAUAAGCACCGGCUAACUUCGUG
rnacentral:rRNA from 1 species